rnacentral:lncRNA from 1 species
ACGGAGCGAGGGGUCCAGGGUGUGAGAAACGGGGAGGGGUUUGAGGAGGGGAUUGGAGUGUGGCUCAAGUUCGGGAGGCGUUACCUGCGGAGGGUUUGAGGCAGGCCCAGGAGCGAGCCCACGGUCUGCCGACGCGGGGCCAGCGGCGGGCCCCAGGAUCCGGAGCUUCGGGCGGGGCCGAGUCCAGCUGUUGUUCCCCACCAGAACCAAAUGAGCGCAAGAUCUGACAAAGAAAAAAAAAGGAGACAAGGAAAACCAAUGGGAACAGUAACAAACAGAACCGCAAGAGCUCCUGUGACAAUGCUGAGCCUGAUCACUGCGCCUUGCAGAGCAGAUGCCCUCUGCACCUCCGCUCCUGUUAAGAAACCAGAGGGUUUUUAAUUGUCUGUUCCCAUCUAGCCGCUUCCUGGGUUCCAGCGAUCCUCCCGCCUCAGCCUCCCCAGUAGCUGGGGCUACAGCCCAGUAAAGGCGCCAUUCCCCAUUUUACAGCUGGGGAAACUGAGUUACAGAGCUUGUCUACACUGAGUCAACAGGAGCAAAUGCUAGAUCAGGUCUAGCUGGAGUACAGUGAUGCAGUCAUAGCCCACUGCAGCCUCAAAAUUCCUGGGCUCAAGCAAUCCACCCACAUCAGCUUCCCAAGUAGUUGGGACUACAGGCCCACACUACUAUACCCAGACCAACAGAUAUUCUAGCAUAUAAGAAAUGUGAUGCUCUCUGUACAUUGAAGAGUUGGUCUAAUAUUUGGCCUGGUGGAUACAGAAAUUGCCUGUCUGCUCCGCUCUGGUUGAAGAAACCAGUCCGACUGUCUCUGAGGCUAUGGAGCAGUCCAUCAAGAAUGAAAGCCCUCGGCUGGCACGUUGGCUCACACCUGUAAUACCAGCGCUUUGGGAGGCUGAGGCAGGUGGAUCACUUGAAGUCACGAAU